UACGUAGGGUGCAAGCGUUAAUCGGAAUUACUGGGCGUAAAGCGUACGCAGGCGGCUAUACAAGACAGGUGUGAAAUCCCCGGGCUCAACCUGGGAACUGCAUUUGUGACUGUAUGGCUAGAGUCCGUAAGAGGGGGGUGGAAUUCCACGUGUAGCAGUGAAAUGCGUAGAGAUGUGGAGGAACACCGAUGGCGAAGGCAGCCCCCUGGGAUGAGACUGACGCUCAAGUACGAAAGCGUGGGGAGCAAACAGG
rnacentral:rRNA from 1 species